rnacentral:rRNA from 1 species
UACGUAGGGCGCAAGCGUUGUCCGGAAUUAUUGGGCGUAAAGAGCUCGUAGGCGGCUUGUCACGUCGGGUGUGAAAGCCCGGGGCUUAACCCCGGGUCUGCAUUCGAUACGGGCUGGCUAGAGUGUGGUAGGGGAGAUCGGAAUUCCUGGUGUAGCGGUGAAAUGCGCAGAUAUCAGGAGGAACACCGGUGGCGAAGGCGGAUCUCUGGGCCAAUACUGACGCUGAGGAGCGAAAGCGUGGGGAGCGAACAGG